AAGUUAUUACUCGCACAGUUAAGCCAAUUGCAUUCACGAUUCAAGAACUCAUAACUAGAAUUUAUCAAAUCAACUUGCAUACAUAGUCAUGGCUUCGAAAUUACCCCUAACCAAUAGGGGUUUAGCCACUCAUGUUCGUAGCAAAACGAAAGGAAAAUAAAUUAAACAUUGAAAUCAUAAAACGAAUUACACCUAGAAUGCACCAGCGAUGAAGCUUAAGCAUCCAAGAGUCCUUCCUUCUUUCUCCUUGCUGCUGCACACGAAUGGGUGAGUUUUGGGGGUUAUGAAUGGUGUAGAAUGAUGGGUUUAUGGCUGGGAUAGGUGUAUGGGACGGCUAGGGUGGUUUUUGGUCAGAAAAUAUGGUGAAUGGUGAAGGAUAGGUGCGGCAGAGAGAGUGGUGAUGUUUCUGGCGUGAAUGGGACUGAAUGGGCAGAUUCUUGGGUAUUUGAAUGAUGUAGAAUGGAUGGAGGAUGUAUGGAAGUGUUUAGGGUUGAUGGGUGGUGCGGCUAGGGUGGUUUUGUGGCAGAAAUUUGGGUGAAUGGUGAAGGAAUGGUGCUGUUGAAGAUGGAGAAUGGUUUCUGGCGUGAAGGAUUAUUUUCUGGAUGAAUGGCUAUGUUUGUGGCUGCACAAACAUGUUUAUUUAAAGGGAUUAGGAAAUUAAAAACCCUAGGCUAAUUAGGUAAUCAGAAAUUAAGUCUAAGGAUUCUAGAAUUAGGAAAUAAAUCAGAAAAUUAAAGGAAAGGGCAAGGGAAAUUCGGCUAGGGUUUAAAACACAAAAGGAAGGUGUUUUAAAGCAUAAAAAACAGGAAAUAAGGAAGAGGAAAUGCAAAGGGGGUGGCAAGGGUUCAAAAAGGGUUCUAGGCUUUUGUUUUUGUGUCCUAGAAUGGUUAGAAAGUCUUCAUAAUUGCUGGAACUUUUAGGGACAAUUAGGAAAAAUCAAACCAAAGUAGGAAACCUUGGCUUAACUUUCCUACUUCAAGUAGGAAUCCUUGUUGGAGAGGAAUCCUUGUUCUUCUAGGAAUCCUCAUUGUGAUUAGGAAUCCAUCUUCAAUUAGGAAUCCUCUUGUGAUUAGGAAUCCAUCUUCAAUUAGGAAUCCUUCGUUGAUUAGGAAUCCUUCGUCGAUUAGGAAUCCUUCCUCGAUUAGGAAUCCUCCUUCAUGUAAGCACUUUCCUACUUCAACUAGGAAACCUUGUUCAAGUAGGAAUCAUCAUCUUCAAGUCUUCAAAUUCGUCCAAACCUUGGCUCCAAUUAUGUGAUAAUCAUUCCAAGCCCAAUUUUGCUCCAAAAAGCUCCAAAAUGCAUCUUCUUGCAUCCUUUGGCCUUAAAACCUGAAAACACAUAAAACUAGCUUAAAAGACUACUUUAACUAAGAAAACACCAUGGAAAUGCAUAAGAACUAGCUAACUAAGGCGCAUAAAUAUGCUCCUAUCAAAUUCCCCCACACUUAGCUUUUGCUAGUCCUCGAGCAAAACAAACAAAAGAAAGGAAACAAAACGAAACAAACUAACCAAAACAAAACCUAAACCUUCCAACGUUUGCCUCAGGGAUUUCCAAUGCACAUGACAUGUUAAAGAUUGUUAUCCCCACAUAUUUGAGUCAUCUUUACACAAGCACAUACUUAAUUAAAGCCACCACUUACUAGUUCACAAGUAAUCAAUUAAAACAAUGCUUUGAAUGUAGUAACAUGCCUUAGAGAAUUCCCUCAAUUCCUUACAAGAUAUGCACUCUAUUUUCACUCAGAUUUUCUAACUCCACACCCUACACUAGUCAUAUGUGAGAAGAUUGAUGUAGAUAUGAAAAUGAAUGCUCACAUAUAUGUUUCACAAAGAACGCAAUUUCUAGAGUUAAGAAGCAUGUUUAGAUAUGAUCUCAUGAAUGGAAUGCUACUACUUAGAUGCGAGAACCAGUGACACCAUAUGCUCAUACGAAAUUCAAACUCCACAAAUUGAAACACCUAACACUCAAGAUAGAAGUUAAGGGUUGUAAAUGGGGCUUGGGUGUUGGUUAACAAGGAAAGGAUAGGGAAAACAAACGUUCUUCAAGCAAUAAAGCAAAGCAAUGAAAUUGAGACUUAGAAUUCACUUAGAUUGCAGAAAUUAACUUUAAAACACAAGGGGAAGACUUAAACAACUCCUUAGGGCCGAAUUCAUUGUUUUGGACCCUUACUUCAACAAACAAUACUUUGGAACUCUUUUUCUCAACUUUUCAACUCUUUUUUCAAACUUUUCAUAUUUUUUUCUUCAAUUUUUCUUUUUCCACGAAAUUUUUUUUUUUUUUCUUUUCUUUUCUUUUCUUUGCCGUGCCUAUGGCACACAAUUCCUCAUGAAAAACACUUCCCCCAUACUUAUUUUCUGUCAACAUAAAUCAAAAGGAAUUCAAUUUGAAUCAUGCUUUACUAUGCUUCAAGAACAAGGGUAUGGAUAGUCCUAAUCUAGGCUAGGUGAGGGUAAUGUGGGUUAACAAAGAAAAAGGCUAAACAAGGCUCAACGGGGUUAAACUUAAACAUAUAAUGGAGUAGGGCACACGGCUUUUUGGCUAAGGUGGUGGUCACUACACAACUUCAUCUUGAAUAUGUGUUAUGCAAUUCAAUGACAUGCUUUGAAUGAAAUGGGCAUGAGUUCUAGCAUUUGGAACUAAAUGAUGAAACGCCUUCUAAGUAGCAACCAAGCAAGGAAUAAUGAGAUCAUGCAACGACUUAGAAAACAAAGAAUGCACAGAUUUUAACUCUCCAAAUAAACGUUUAGGCUCAAGUCUAACAAGGUUGUAGCGUUAAUUCGAGUUUCUUCCUUCAAGCAUGUUACAAAAACUGAUUUUUCCUUUAUGAUUGCAUGUGAAUUCAUAAGUUAUAACCACAACCAAGCAUAAACAAAGAGUAAAUCAAACUUUCAUCCAUGUUAAUCACUUUCUUUAACAGUCAUGCAAUUAAAAACCAAAUCCUCAUCAUUGUGUUGGAAGGUACCCUAAGACACAAACAAACAUACAAAAACAACUCUUUUUUGGGUUUUUAAAACAAAUUUUUCAAAUUUUUAUGUGAUUUUCGGAUUUUUACUUCAAAACACCCUAAAACACACCAAAACAGCUUAAAAACACUUUAAAAACAGCAAGGAAAAGUCUAUAAGUAAAGGUUGAUAAAAUCCCACGAAUUUGCAUCAAAAACACUUAUUUACCCCCCCACACUUAAAUCAAACAUUGUCCUCAAUGUUUCAAGCAUAAACUCACACAAAACACAAAGAAACACACAAACAGCAAGUUAAAAACAAAACUGGCAGAUUAGAAACAAGCAACACAGUGAAGGGUUUUAGAAACUCAAAUUCUGGUUGUUAGAGCAAUUCCUAGGUCCCACGGCAUUGUCCUCAAUCUUCCUUAUUUGAAUGCUUCUCUUUAAGCUCCCUAGGUCCCAGGCAUGGAUUUGAUCUUUGAAUGGACGAUGAUACUUGAAAUGAACCGGCAUUGGUUUAGAUUUAGUGUAGGUACCUGAUUCAUCAAAAUCAGCAAGUUAGUAUAAAAUGUAAUGGAAAUUGGAGAAGAUGACUUACUUGCUUUGUCCGACAAGAACUCAAUGACAAACACCACUCCUUUGAAAGUUUCAGGGAUAUUGGACUUGGCCAGAUUUACUAUGAUGGUUGUGACUUGUCCAAUGUCAUCAAUUCAACUUCUUUGGGCUUUGUUGUUUCAAAUUUGUCCUCUUUGAUGAAGUCUUGACAUUCUUUAGCCACCCACUUUCUCUUGAAUCAUUCUUCUUGGGAAAACAAAGGCCUUUGAAAUAUUCAACACGAUCUAGAACUUGCUUUGUUGCACCAAGAUUGGAAUAUCCUUUUGCACCUUUGGAAGAGCUUCCACAAUGUCUUUUUCACUCUCUUCUUGCUUGGGAAUCAAAAACCUGCUAGGAAAAGGGACAUUGGGAGGAAUAACAUUAGAAUGAAAUGAAAUUGGGACGUCCUUACUUGUGGUGGGUGGGUUAGAAGGCUUAGGGGGUUGCGACAAGGGUUGUUCUACCCUUGCCGUGUGUAUGUCUUCUUCCUCCUCCUCAAUCAGCAGCUCCUCAUCCACUUCUAGGCAAUGUUUGGACGUUUUUAGGUCAGCUCCAACCUCCAUAGCACUUCCCAAAGUGAUAGCAUCAUGGAUUUCAAAAUCUUCCUUCGAAUUUUCAAUAGUUGAGUUGGAAACUUCACUUUGCUCUUGAAUUUGUGCCAUGAACUCCAUAAUCUGCCCAAUAUGCUUCUCCAAUUCACCCGUCUUCUUGGUUUGAAUUGGCAUCUCUUUGUUUCGAUUUUCUACUUCCUGGUACAAAGAGGUGAGUAACUUAUUAAACAUAUCAUUAUCCAAAGACGUACCUGAAUUGAAUUGGGCAAAUUGUUGUGAUGGAUGUGAUAGUUCAUAUGGCCAAUGAUAGAACUCCUCUUCUUGCUGCCAAUAUCCACCUUGUUGAUCCUCCUUGGCUUGAUUUUGUGAGCCCUGCAACAAAGAAUUUAAUUCAUUAAGAAUUUGAUUAUAAUCUAUUGACGAAACCUAAAAUUUGAUUGAGCAUAUUGUAUAUAAGGUUGUGGUGGAUGCAUAGGUCUUGAAUAGAACUCUUCAUAUGGCUGCCAAUAUGCUUUGUGUUGAACUUGUUGAGCUUCCCACCACAUAGAGUUUGAAUGAUCACUCCAAUCGCUUUGUGGAUAUAGAUUAGCUUCGUAUCCUUGCCUAUAAGACGCACCAAAUGUAGGGACACUUUGCAUUGUGGUCCUUUCGGCAAUCUAUGACAAUUGAGAAGUAAGAUUUGCUAAUUGAGCUUGAAUGCUAGCAAAAUCCAUGUCUUACUUCUCUAGUACCUAAAAUCAAAGAAAGAGAACUAAAUCAAAUAUCAAAAGUAACACAAAACAAGGAAAACAAAACUAAGUCAGAAACUAAAACAGAAACAAACUAAACAAAAAGAAAAGAACCAAGGGAUUAGCAAAUACUUUGCUACAAUUGUCAAAAGAGGGUUUAAUUUGUGUGCUUAAUAUAUUUCGCAUCAAAUUUUUGGCGCCGUUGCCGGGGAUUAGGAGGGAUUGCUAAACACUUGAAAACUGAUUUAAAAACUUAAAAACAAAGUUUAAAACACUAAUUUGGACUCAAAGAAUGAAAAACUAAAGUUUAAAACACUAAAACAAAACAAAAACUCAAAACAGCAACUAGAAGACUCAAAACUGUCUAAAAACCACUUUCUGGGCAGUUUUGAGCACCUACACUAAUUUGGACGAAAUUGGGUGACAACUUGACUCAAAAUACUUAAAAACAUAAACCAAAACACUUUCUAACUAAAUUAAGACUUCAAAGUAAAUGAGGAUUUGAUUUGGACGAAAAUAAAUUUGAUAAAACAGAUUGCAAAGUAAAACAGAUUUUGAAAACGUUUUUGGGGUUUUAAAUGGAUGAUGGACUAGUUAGGGGCUCUUUCUCCACACAUGACAAGUAUGCAAACGACUCAAUUUCCAGUUAUUCCUUCGUUGAUUAUGAAUACAAUGCCCCAAAUUAACCGUGACAUCACUAGUUAAUUCUCAAGUUUUCCUUGUGUUAUUGGAUUGGAUGACAUCAUUCGACAACCCAAGCAUUCCUCAAAAGUUCCUACAUGACAUCAUAAUAAAGAUACAAUCAAAGAUCAUUGCGUUCAAUGAAAACUAUAAGCAUUGAAAAGCACUUGCAACUAUGACAUCAUGUCACUCAUGCUAGGAAUUGAACUUAACGCGAUCGUGACUAGCGACCUUCAUACAUAUGAAUAUAAGUGUGUGACGAUUAUGUGAAACAACCUUAUAUUCAGCAACAUAUUCAUGCAAGCCAAUUAAGUGUCGACCCCUAAUUAACAAACACAAAUAAGUUAUUACUCGCACAAUUAAGCCAAUUGCAUUCACGAUUCAAGAACUCAUAACUAGAAUUUAUCAAUCAACUUGCAUACAUAGUCAUGGCUUCGAAAUUACCCCUAACCAAUAGGGGUUUAGCCACUCAUGUUCGUAGCAAAACGAAAGGAAAAUAAAUUAAACAUUGAAAUCAUAAAACGAAUUACACCUAGAAUGCACCAGCGAUGAAGCUUAAGCAUCCAAGAGUCCUUCCUUCUUUCUCCUUGCUGCUGCACACGAAUGGGUGAGUUUUGGGGGUUAUGAAUGGUGUAGAAUGAUGGGUUUAUGGCUGGGAUAGGUGUAUGGGACGGCUAGGGUGGUUUUUGGUCAGAAAAUAUGGUGAAUGGUGAAGGAUAGGUGCGGCAGAGAGAAGUUGGUGAUGUUUCUGGCGUGAAUGGGACUGAAUGGGCAGAUUCUUGGGUAUUUGAAUGAUGUAGAAUGGAUGGAGGAUGUAUGGAAGUGUUUAGGGUUG
rnacentral:lncRNA from 1 species